CCGUUUAUUUCGAUCUGGAACGCAUUGAUCCAUCGAAAAUCCAAAUGCAUAUUGUUUUGAAUCCGAGGCCUAUAAUGACGUGCGCGUACAUAAUAAUCUCUCCGUCCUUCGCGACCCGGCGACGCAACCGGGAAUCCAAAGACGCGGAGGAGGAGGAGGAAUAGAGAGCGCGAUGGGUCUGCAGGUAGAUUUUGAAGAAUAUGCUGCAAAAGCUAAAACUUUGCCUGUAAAUACUACUAACAAGAGCAAAUUGAUCCUGUAUGGGCUUUACUAGCAAGCAACUGUCGGACCAGUGAAUACUAGCUGACCUGGUAUAUUCAAUAUGAGGGAUAGAGCCAAAUGGGAAGCUUGGAAGGCUGUUGAAGGGGAGGAAGCCAAAGGAGGAGGCUAUGAGUGACUACCUCACCAAGGUUAAACAGCUGCUCGAGGCAGCUGCUACUGCUGCUUAUGCUACUUUGUCACGCCUUGCUCUAUGUAGUACCAUUAUCUUAUCAUUUCAUUAGUGUUUCAUUCGAGUUAAGAUGCAUGCGGAUGUCAAGUUUUUAGGUCAGCAAAGCUAAGUGUGGGCAUGUUGAAUGAGCAUUACCUGCAGCCCAUAUAUUUAGUGAAGCUUUAUUGAUUCCCAGUAAGACUAUAAAUUGUCUGUUAGGUUCUGUUCAUUUUUCUCUUCAGUACUACAUGCUAGAGAUCUUUUAUCUUUGUUUAGUUUCUUCCCCUUAAAACCUAGGCGAUCUGUGAUAAAAUUUUAUUGAAAAUUUAAUAGUGAUGAGUGUAUAUGACCUUGAAAUGGAAAGGAGGCUUUUUAUAGUUGUCUUCCUAUAGUCUGAUUAUUUAGUCUAACAGUCCUGGUAGAAAAAUCCUGUAUAUUUUAUCCGAUUUUUUGCUAUGACUUUUGUGCUUCUUUCUACAUCCAAAUUUGUAUAGAAUGUGUUUUGUGAAAGACAUGGAUAGUUGUAAUGCAGACAUUGAUCGAGUGUUUUAUCUUGUAGUAUGCCAUCCGACAUUUAUUUGUUUAUGGUCUCUUAAAAAUCUUUGUCAAGCAUAGUAUUGGUUUUGAUCACGUUGGCCUCAAAACUGUGAUAGUUUUCUCUAAUAGACUCGAUUGCUCAAAAGGAACUUUGCUUUAUGGAGUUAAUUAGGCAAGACAUUCUUUUUUAGAAGAAACUGGUCAGUCUGAUUCCAACAAACAAGAUUUUCUUUUUUCCUUUUUCCAUUAGAUUCUCGUUUGCUACCUCCAAAUAAUGUAGCUUACAAUUCUGUUUUCCUAUUUGCAACUCAAGCCUUUUGCCUUCCUUUUCUUCCAUAUCAACUACAGGAACGCAAUGAAUUUUGGGUUCUCAAAUUUGUAAUUUCAUCAACUCUCUUUUGAACUCAAGUUUGAAUUCGUGGCAUACUCUCUGAAUGAGGUGGAUUAUUUUGUGUGUAACAUGCA